CGAACAGCUAUGACGAAUAAUUGUUAAUAUAUUUGUUCCCAGAGAGUCGAUGGUUGGUGCAAAUCGAUACAAACUAUUAACGAAGCAAUUACGAGCUGUUUACCUGAAGAUAAUAUUAGGGUAACCCGGUGCAUUCCGUUAUAAUGCAAGGUUGUAAUAACCUACCAAGGUCUGAAACUGUGAAGUUUAGACGAACAAGGGUGGUACCACGGAGGCAAUGUCCUACGUCCCUUUA
rnacentral:ncRNA from 1 species